GAACUGCGCGUAUUUUGUCAACAACGUUGGUACAUUCGUGUUUUUAAAAAUAUACUUCGUAGUCUCGCACGUGUCUCGUGAGUAAGGUAGCUCAAUAAUUCGACUUAUUUUCUUUGUCACUAGUAUCGUUUUUAAAUU